GCCGGUGUUGCUCAGUGGAUAGAGCAUCAGACUGUGGACUUGAAGGGUCCCGGGUUAGAUUCCGGUCAAGGGCA
rnacentral:tRNA from 1 species